rnacentral:rRNA from 1 species
AGAGUUUGAUCCUGGCUCAGGAUGAACGCUAGCUACAGGCUUAACACAUGCAAGUCGAGGGGCAUCAUGGCGGUCGCUUGCGACCGCUGAUGGCGACCGGCGCACGGGUGCGUAACGCGUAUCGAACCUGCCGCAUACCCGGGGAUAGCCUUGCGAAAGCAAGAUUAAUACCCGAUGUUCUCACUGUUCCGCAUGUUACGGUGAGCAAAGAAUUUCGGUAUGCGAUGGCGAUGCGUCCCAUUAGCUAGUUGGCGGGGUAACGGCCCACCAAACCGACGAUGGAUAGGGGUUCUGAGAGGAAGGCCCCCCACACUGGUACUGAGACACGGACCAGACUCCUACGGGAGGCAGCAGUGAGGAAUAUUGGUCAAUGGGCGCGAGCCUGAACCAGCCAAGUCGCGUGAGGGAAUAAGGUCCUAUGGAUUGUAAACCUCUUUUGUCGGGGAGCAAUGAGCGUCACGCGUGAUGCGUUGAGAGUACCCGAAGAAAAAGCAUCGGCUAACUCCGUGCCAGCAGCCGCGGUAAUACGGAGGAUGCGAGCGUUAUCCGGAUUUAUUGGGUUUAAAGGGUGCGUAGGCGGGGAGCCAAGUCAGCGGUAAAAUCGUGGGGCUCAACCCCAUCCCGCCGUUGAAACUGGUUUUCUUGAGUGGAUGAAAAGUAUGCGGAAUGCGUGGUGUAGCGGUGAAAUGCAUAAAAUAUCACGCAGAACCUCCCAUUGCGAAGGCAGCCAUGGCCGGCUCCACACUGACGCUGAGGCCACGAAAAGCGUGGGUAUCGAACAGGAUUAGAUACCCUGGUAGUCCACGCAGUAAACGAUGAAUGCUGGCUGUCCGGGGGGACUGACCCCUGGGUGGCGAAGCGAAAGCGAUAAGCAUUCCACCUGGGGAGUACGCCGGCAACGGUGAAACUCAAAGGAAUUGACGGGGGCCCGCACAAGCUGAGGAACAUGUGGUUUAAUUCGAUGAUACGCGAGGAACCUUACCCGGGCUCAAACGGGGAGUGGCGCAGGCAGAGACGCCUGUUUCCCACGGGACACUCCCCGAGGUGCUGCAUGGUUGUCGUCAGCUCGUGCCGUGAGGUGUCGGCUUAAGUGCCAUAACGAGCGCAACCCCCGCGUGCAGUUGCUAACAGUCAACGCUGAGGACUCUGCACGGACUGCCGGCGCAAGCCGCGAGGAAGGCGGGGAUGACGUCAAAUCAGCACGGCCCUUACGUCCGGGGCGACACACGUGUUACAAUGGGUGGUACAGCGGGAAGCCAGGCGGCGACGCCGAGCGGAACCCGAAAUCCACUCUCAGUUCGGAUCGGAGUCUGCAACCCGACUCCGUGAAGCUGGAUUCGCUAGUAAUCGCGCAUCAGCCAUGGCGCGGUGAAUACGUUCCCGGGCCUUGCACUCACCGCCCGUCA